UUUUCAUUCCUCCAGGGGUUACUUGAGGUCAUUUUAGACCCUCUUUGGGGGUUACUUCAGGUCACAGGGGUCAUUUGAGGUCAUUUGAGGCCCUGAUCGGGGUUACUUCAGGUCACAGGGGUCAUUUGAGGCCCUGAUCGGGGUUACUUCAGGUCACAGGGGUUAUUUGAGGUCAUUUAUGUAUUUUUUAAUUGACCUGGGGGUUACUUGAGGUCAUUUGUGUCCCCAUUAAUUGAUUGCGGGGUCAGAUGUGGACACAGGGGCUCCUUGAGGUCAUUUGUGUCCCCAUUAAUUGAUCUGGGGCUCAAGUGGGGACACGGGGGUUAAUUCUUACGAGCUGUGGCCAAACAGGAAGGGACACUUUGGUGUAAUGGACCAAACAGUGCCAGUCCAGUCCAGGGGAGCCCAAGGCCUCAGGUGACCCCAGUGGUGUCACCCAUCCUCUGCCCUCUGUCCUCUCAGCAUGGUGACAAGGGCCCAGUUAUUAGCUUUAUUAAUAUUUAUUAUUCAUUUAUUGUAUUAGCAUUUAUUGUCAUCUCCUGUAAGCAUCAGCAUCUACAGAAUUGGUGUUAGCUAUUAAUACAAUCAUCAAUAAAUUCUACUGUUGGGAUUA